rnacentral:rRNA from 1 species
GACGAACGCUGGCGGCGUGCUUAACACAUGCAAGUCGAACGGAAAGGCCCUGCUUUUGUGGGGUGCUCGAGUGGCGAACGGGUGAAUAACACGUGAGUAACCUGCCCUUGACUUUGGGAUAACUUCAGGAAACUGGGGCUAAUACCGGAUAGGAGCUCCUGCUGCAUGGUGGGGGUUGGAAAGUUUCGGCGGUUGGGGAUGGACUCGCGGCUUAUCAGCUUGUUGGUGGGGUAGUGGCUUACCAAGGCUUUGACGGGUAGCCGGCCUGAGAGGGUGACCGGCCACAUUGGGACUGAGAUACGGCCCAGACUCCUACGGGAGGCAGCAGUGGGGAAUAUUGCACAAUGGGCGGAAGCCUGAUGCAGCAACGCCGCGUGCGGGAUGACGGCCUUCGGGUUGUAAACCGCUUUCGCCUGUGACGAAGCGUGAGUGACGGUAAUGGGUAAAGAAGCACCGGCUAACUACGUGCCAGCAGCCGCGGUGAUACGUAGGGUGCGAGCGUUGUCCGGAUUUAUUGGGCGUAAAGGGCUCGUAGGUGGUUGAUCGCGUCGGAAGUGUAAUCUUGGGGCUUAACCCUGAGCGUGCUUUCGAUACGGGUUGACUUGAGGAAAGGUAGGGGAGAAUGGAAUUCCUGGUGGAGCGGUGGAAUGCGCAGAUAUCAGGAGGAACACCAGUGGCGAAGGCGGUUCUCUGGGCCUUUCCUGACGCUGAGGGGCGAAAGCGUGGGGAGCGAACAGGCUUAGAUACCCUGGUAGUCCACGCUGUAAACGGUGGGUACUAGGUGUGGGGUCCAUUCCACGGGUUCCGUGCCGUAGCUAACGCUUUAAGUACCCCGCCUGGGGAGUACGGCCGCAAGGCUAAAACUCAAAGGAAUUGACGGGGCCCCGCACAAGCGGCGGAGCAUGCGGAUUAAUUCGAUGCAACGCGUAGAACCUUACCUGGGUUUGACAUGGAUCGGGAGUGCUCAGAGAUGGGUGUGCCUCUUUUGGGGUCGGUUCACAGGUGGUGCAUGGCUGUCGUCAGCUCGUGUCGUGGGAUGUUGGGUUAAGUCCCGCAACGAGCGCAACCCUUGUUCACUGUUGCCAGCACGUUAUGGUGGGGACUCAGUGGAGACCGCCGGGGUCAACUCGGAGGAAGGUGGGGAUGACGUCAAGUCAUCAUGCCCCUUAUGUCCAGGGCUUCACGCAUGCUACAAUGGCUGGUACAGAGAGUGGCGAGCCCGUGAGGGUGAGCGAAUCUCGGAAAGCCGGUCUCAGUUCGGAUUGGGGUCUGCAACUCGACCUCAUGAAGUCGGAGUCGCUAGUAAUCGCAGAUCAGCAACGCUGCGGUGAAUACGUUCCCGGGGCU